rnacentral:rRNA from 1 species
UGGGGAAUUGUUCACAAUGGGCGCAAGCCUGAUGACGCAACGCCGCGUGGGGGAUGAAGGUCUUCGGAUUGUAAACCCCUGUCGAACGGGACGAAAGACUCGGGAGCUAAUCAUCUCGAGAGUGACGGUACCGUUAAAGGAAGCCACGGCUAACUCUGUGCCAGCAGCCGCGGUAAUACAGAGGUGGCAAGCGUUGUUCGGAAUUACUGGGCGCAAAGGGCGCGUAGGCGGCCAUCUAAGUCAGACGUGAAAUCCCCCGGCUUAACCUGGGAACUGCGUCUGAUACUGGACGGCUUGAGUAUGGGAGAGGGAUGUAGAAUUCCAGGUGUAGCGGUGAAAUGCGUAGAUAUCUGGAGGAAUACCGGUGGCGAAGGCGGCAUCCUGGACCAUUACUGACGCUGAGGCGCGAAAGCUAGGGGAGCAAACGGGAUUAGAUACCCCGGUAGUCCUAGCCCUAAACGAUGAAUGCUUGGUGUGGCGGGUAUCGAUCCCUGCCGUGCCGAAGCUAACGCAUUAAGCAUUCCGCCUGGGGAGUACGGUCGCAAGGCUGA